GGAACUUCGAAAUAAUAUAAUUUUAAUUUUACUAAAAUUGCUUGUUUGCAUUAUCGAGGCUUUACUGUCUAUAUGAUUUGCAUUACGCGCUGCGGCGAUAAGCGCGACAAGUGGCGUUCUCUCAGUUGUCUUGGCGGCUGGGGGGGAGAGCUAUAGAGAGAGAGAGAGGGACAGAGGGAGAUUGAGAGCAGUCAAGACUUAAUUUACUGAUAGAAUAAAAUAGAAAAUUGUGAAUUGUAUAAAAUGGGGCACACAAUUUAUUUACAAAUUGCGUAUGCGCUGCUUCUGCUCUCGUAACAACUUAAUAGGCUAUAAAUUUUGAAAUUGAAAUUAAUCUAACUUACUUGCUGCUGGGUUGCAUUUGUGCAAUAAGCUGAACCAAGCCACCCCCACCCCCUGCCUACCAUAUUUAGUGUGAGAACAUAGUAUAGUUGUGCUAGAUUUAUUUAUUUAGCAAUUGCAAUUGUUGAUAAGUUAGUUUCAACUCACACGCAAAUUGAAUAAGAAUUUAGAAUAGACUUGCUCUGAGCGUAAAUUGGCAAAUUCAAACGCAUCCUAAUACUUUGAUUAUGCUCGAAUUAGGGUUAAGCUAUUGAAAGUAAUUGGUGCGGAUUGAAGUAUUUUUCAUAUAAGCCAACUAACGUGAAGAUUUGCAAAUUGACGUCAACUUGUGUUAUGCUUUUAAUUAAAAACGAGGAGAACAUCGUUAAAAGCUAGAAUUGCAUUUAUUGUCAUACAAUAUUUUUCUAUCUCUAUAUAUAUACAGCUACAUUUGUUUUUUUUUUUACUGUUGUAGUCAGCUGUUCGAAUAAGAUAAAUGCCAGGCAAAGCGAAGAGACUAAUGGAGAUGGACAGCCAGGGCAUAUAAAAGAGAGUGUAAGCAAAUUGAAGAAGGAGGUAGAAAAAUAAAACCCGGAAAGCGAAACAAGAGUUUCAAAGUUGUUGUUGUUUUUGCGGUUUGGCAAGUGGACAGCACGAAGAGAAGAAGUGGGAAGCACUUAAGACGGA